UCCGGUUUGCACCGGCAGUCUCGCAUGAGUCCCCGGCAUUACCCGCUGGCAACAUACGAUAAGGGUUGCGCUCGUUACCUGACUUAACAGGACAUCUCACGACACGAGCUGACGACAGCCAUGCACCACCUGUGCAGGUGCCCGAAGGAGGCCAUGUUUCCAUGGCUGUCACCUGCAUGUCAAGCCCAGGUAAGGUUCUUCGCGUUGCGUCGAAUUAAACCACAUGCUCCACUGCUUGUGCGCCUCCCCGUCAAUUCCUUUGAGUUUUAGCCUUGCGGCCGUACUCCCCAGGCGGGGCACUUAAUGCGUUAGCUGUCUCACGGCGAGAGUCGACACUCGCCACAAGUAGUGCCCAUCGUUUACGGCGUGGACUAC
rnacentral:misc_RNA from 1 species